CAGCCGCCGCGGGAAUACGUAGGGUGCAAGCGUUAAUCGGAAUUACUGGGCGUAAAGCGUGCGCAGGCGGUUAUAUAAGACAGAUGUGAAAUCCCCGGGCUCAACCUGGGAACUGCAUUUGUGACUGUAUAGCUAGAGUACGGCAGAGGGGGAUGGAAUUCCGCGUGUAGCAGUGAAAUGCGUAGAUAUGCGGAGGAACACCGAUGGCGAAGGCAAUCCCCUGGGCCUGUACUGACGCUCAUGCACGAAAGCGUGGGGAGCAAACAGGAUUAGAUACCCCGUGUAGUCCCUGUCUCUUAUA
rnacentral:rRNA from 1 species